rnacentral:misc_RNA from 1 species
UUAAGUUCAGCGGGUAUCCCUACCUGAUCCGAGGUCAACCGUGAGAGGGGUCGCUGGCGGGCGCCGCCCAGGGCCGGUAGCGAGGGGUUGUACUACGCUCCGGCACCUGGUCGCACCGCCACUAGCUUUGGGGCCCGCCAGCCGGCAGGCCCAGGACCAGCAGGGCUGGAUAGGCUAUAAUGAGCGCUCGAACAGGCAUG